rfam:TPA: Bos taurus chromosome 3, whole genome shotgun sequence.
UCCCUUGUAGCUCAGUCGGUAAAGAAUCUGUCUGCAAUGCAGGAAACCUGGGUUCGAUUCCUGGGCUGGGAA